rnacentral:ncRNA from 1 species
UAAGGUGCUUUUAAAAAGCUUAAUAGGGAAAGUUAAAAGCUGCAGCCCCCGCUACUGUUGAUAGGGACAAAGGUGAAAGAUGCCACUGUAACAAAGUUAUGGUAAGGCUCACCGGAGGAUGAACUAUUAGCCAGGAGACCUGCCUUAUAGGAUA